rnacentral:rRNA from 1 species
GAUGAACGCUGGCGGCGUGCCUAAUACAUGCAAGUCGAGCGAACAGACGAGGAGCUUGCUCCUCUGACGUUAGCGGCGGACGGGUGAGUAACACGUGGAUAACCUACCUAUAAGACUGGGAUAACUUCGGGAAACCGGAGCUAACACCGGAUAAUAUAUUGAACCGCAUGGUUCAAUAGUGAAAGACGGUUUUGCUGUCAUUUAUAGAUGGAUCCGCGCCGCAUUAGCUAGUUGGUAAGGUAACGGCUUACCAAGGCAACGAUGCGUAGCCGACCUGAGAGGGUGAUCGGCCACACUUGAACUGAGACACGGUCCAGACUCCUACGGGAGGCAGCAGUAGGGAAUCUUCCGCAAUGGGCGAAAGCCUGACGGAGCGACGCCGCGUGAGUGAUGAAGGUCUUCGGAUCGUAAAACUCUGUUAUUAGGGAAGAACAAAUGUGUAAGUAACUAUGCACGUCUUGACGGUACCUAAUCAGAAAGCCACGGCUAACUACGUGCCAGCCGCCGCCGUAA